rnacentral:rRNA from 1 species
UGGGGAAUAUUGGACAAUGGGCGCAAGCCUGAUCCAGCCAUGCCGCGUGAGUGACGAAGGCCUUAGGGUUGUAAAGCUCUUUUGGCGGGGAAGAUAAUGACGGUACCCGCAGAAUAAGCUCCGGCUAACUUCGUGCCAGCAGCCGCGGUAAUACGAAGGGAGCUAGCGUUGUUCGGAAUCACUGGGCGUAAAGCGCACGUAGGUGGGCAGUUAAGUCAGGGGUGAAAGCCCGAGGCUCAACCUCGGAAUUGCCUCUGAUACUGGCUGUCUAGAGUUCGAGAGAGGUGAGUGGAAUUCCUAGUGUAGAGGUGAAAUUCGUAGAUAUUAGGAAGAACACCGGUGGCGAAGGCGGCUCACUGGCUCAAUACUGACACUGAGGUGCGAAAGCGUGGGUAGCAAACAGGAUUAGAUACCCCCGUAGUCCCUGAGCGGGCUGGCAAGGCGCAU